rnacentral:lncRNA from 1 species
UAAUAAUGGUAAUAAAAUAAUAAAAAGUACAUAAGCCGCUACUAUAUGUAACGGCUUUAUACUCAAUUCGUAAUAAUAAUAGAAUAAUAAUAAUAAUCGAGUAAUUAUAAUAAAAAAAUGAGAACAUAUAAUUUGGGGGGAAAUGGAAUGUUUUAAGAUAUAUUCAAAUCCAAGGUAAAAUAUGACAGCUAGGCCCGUAAUGCUCGGGUGGUCAUUUGACGAAUGUUUGGAGCUUGAGGUCGCGGGUUCGAUUCUGUCCAGCAGCUAUGUAAUUUAUUUAUUACAAGCCAGUAUAGCCUGUACCGGCCGAGCGUUUUUAUUAAAAAUUUAUUUUAAUUUUUUAUUCUAAGCCGGUAUAGCCUGUACCGGCCGAACGUUUAUUUUAAUAAUUUAUUAUUACAGUCGGUGAAGCCUGUACCGGCCGAGCUACACCACAUCACCUCGGGAAAGACCAAAUAUUAGCCUUUUGACUACUUUUUCGGACACAAUGCCUCGGGAAAGAACACCUGCAAGCUUGUAAACUAAAAAGCUGAGACCCACACCUGCAAGUUUGAAUUUGGUCCAAAAUUUAUGAGUUUGUACCGGCUUGCAUGAGCUUAUUUAACCAUCUAUAACCAUCUAUAGUGAUCUAUUGAGAACACACGUUGAAGAGAGGAGCAAGUUUCGGAAGAGAGGAGCAAAAAACUUCAACAAGUUGAAGCGGCUGGAUUCCAUUAUUAGAUUCUAAAGACACCGAACUUCAACACGUAAGUUUUUAUUUAUUGUUAUUUGUUCAGUUUUUAAUAGUUUCUAUUGUUAUUAUUUUCGUAUAAUAGUUAAAUAAUAUUAUUACAUUAUAUAAAUGAAAAAAACUUAUUACAGUGUACUCAAUCAAGCAAUUUUUUUUUAUCACUGCAUGUUAUUACUGAAUUAAAG